UAGUAACGGCGAGUGAAGAGGGAAAAAGCUCAAAUUUUGAAUCUGGUGUCUUUGGCGCCCGGAGUUGUAAUCUAGAGAAGUGUUUUCUGCCUCGGACCACACAUAAAUUCCCUGGAAUGGGGUGUCAUAGAGGGUGAGAAUCCCGUUUGUGGUGUGGACUACCUUGGCUCUGUGAUACACUCUCAACGAGUCGAGUUGUUUGGGAAUGCAGCUCAAAAUGGGUGGUAAAUUCCAUCUAAAGCUAAAUAUUGGCGAGAGACCGAUAGCGAACAAGUACCGUGAGGGAAAGAUGAAAAGCACUUUGGAAAGAGAGUGAAACAGUACGUGAAAUUGUUGAAAGGGAAGCGUUUGAAGUCAGUCACAUCGGUCGGAAUUCAGCCUGGCUUUGCCUGGUGUACUUUCUGGCAGAUGGGUCAGCGUCAAUUUUGACUGAGGGAAAAAGACUUGAGGAAUGUGGCUGUCUUCGGGCAGUGUUAUAGCCUCUUGUUGUAUGUCUCAGUUGGGAUUGAGGACCGCAGCACGCCUUAUGGCCGGGGUUCGCGCCCUCGGAACGUGCUUAGGA
rnacentral:rRNA from 1 species